GAUGAACGCUAGCGGGAGGCUUAACACAUGCAAGUCGAGGGGCAGCACGGGUAGCAAUACCUGGUGGCGACCGGCAGACGGGUGAGUAACGCGUAUGUAACCUACCCUGUACAGGGGGAUAACCCGGAGAAAUUCGGACUAAUAUCCCAUGGAAAUAUUGGAAGGCAUCUUUUGAUAUUUAAAGCUUCGGCGGUACGGGAUGGGCAUGCGUAACAUUAGCUAGUUGGUUAGGGUAACGGCCUACCAAGGCUACGAUGUUUAGGGGUCCUGAGAGGGUGAUCCCCCACACUGGUACUGAGACACGGACCAGACACCUACGGGUGGCUG
rnacentral:rRNA from 1 species